UUGGUUUACAAUCGGGGGUCGCAGGAGAUUUGUACUCGGCGGGAAGACAUUCGUCUGGUUAAAAACUUAUCCGGACGAGCGCGAGAAGGAAUCAACCCCCGAUUUUCCGAAGUUUGAACACGAACUAUGGAACCACUAACGCAGGUGCAGGAGGAGAGACAAGAUGCACGGCCGGCCUCGCAAGCCCACGAAGUCGGAAGACGCCGUUUCAACUUUCAAUCGCUAAAUCUACUGAGCUCUCAGCUUCCCCACAAUCAUCACAACAAAAUGUAAUCCCACAAACCCGAAAGAAAGCGGAAAAGGAAAACCCUUUACUUGAAUUUAUAUCCUCUACACUGUCAGAUGUGAUCGGGGAAAAUUUUCAAUGAUCAGGGUUUUAAAUUUUACACCCAUUUAUGACGACGAGGUAUCACAAAUUAUGCUCGAAGCUCCUAGAAAGUACAAACAAAUUCUGAAGCUCACACUGGUUGGAAUUACAGAAAGCUUGCCGUGGAGCAUAAUCUCCGCUCUGAAACCGAUCCCGACACCAUUACAGCCGUCCUUGAACUCAAAGUCGUGGAGAGUGCAUUGAGAAGAAAUUCUAAUGAGUCUUAUGGAGCUUGGCACCACUUGAAAUGGGCUUUAAACAAGGGAUUAUUCUCACUCAAUCAUAAAUUCAGGCUUUUGGAUCAGUUCAAGAAAGCUGAUUCUCGUAAUUUUCAUGUUUGUUGUAGAAUUGAAAAUUGUGAAAAUGUGCCAGAGGAGGAGGAGCUAAGGUUUACUAUGGACAUGAUACAUAUCAAUUUCAGCAACUAUUCCGCAUGCCACAAUCGUUUGGAGGCAAUGCAACUCCUGACUUGCUUGAAUCUAAGCAACAACAGAAUCCGCAGUUGUUGUGCACUGGAGUCUUUAAAACUGCUCAAAUCUUUAAAAAAGUUUUGGAUAUCUCCUACAAUGAGACUGGUGCACACUCUAUUGGCACCUCUAGGUAUUUGUGCUCUUCUUUAUCUCAUACAGUAGGUGCUGAUUGGAAUGUCGAUGCAUUCGUUACUGAUGGCGUCAAACCGACAAACUUUUAGGGAGCUGCAAUGAUUUUUAAAUACCUGUACUUGAGACAAUUAGAUCUUGUGGGGAAUGCAAUAGUUGAUAACAAGUUUAGGCUAUUGCUGAUCCAUGUUCUUCCUAGUCUUAGUGGUUUGAUGGCGAUGAGGUACAUUAGUCUUCAAUUUUUGUAUGGAUGGUCAUCUCUUUCCUUUUUCUUUUUCUUGCCCUUUUUCUUUAAGACUACAGGUUUUUCCCUGUCCUUUUGCUUUUACCUGCAGAGAAUUGUACAUGUAAAUUACAGUUACCAUGCUGUAACUCACCAAGGAAUCCUAUGUUUUGAUUGCGGAAUAGCUAUUGACUGCGAGAGGUAGUGUUAGUUUAUUGUAUUAAGUAUGAAAUAUGAAAUACUUUUGUC